AUGUGUUUGUCAGGAAUAAAGGUAGUGACAUUCAGAAAAGCCAGGGCAAAACAGAUGCUCUUAAAUUUUAAAUUACCUUUUGUGUUGAGGUACUCUACUGAUGAUUCUGCCAGUGUAUCUCCUCAUGACCUCCCAUAUAUAGAAAUAUAUGGCUCCACCAACAAUGAAAGAAUGGAACUUGGCCCUCUAGAGGGUGACAUUUUUCCAUAUGAGCUCUUUGACAUGGCAAAUCACGGCUAAGAGAGAAGUGUGAGGUGUCUGUUAGUGGAUGGCCCAGCAUCAAAAGAGACCAAUUAGCAAUGUCCCCAUCUGCUGCCUAGACUCGUGCUUGCUUCCUGCCGGUUCCUGGAGCCAAGAAUUGAACUGGAAGCCUUGGAUUUCAUGCACAGCAGCUGCAGUCAAUUUCUCCAAUGUCACACAUUGUCCUGAGAACUCAUUAUAGGAGCUGAAGAAUGGAAGUCUUGUCAGUGCCUUUCUUAUUGAGGCUGGCCUUCUUCUCUUAAUACUGUUCAAGAGACCACCACAGACUAGUUGAGAUCUAUUUAAGACGGAACGUUAGAGAUGGUGCCAAAAAGAGAGCUCUUACUCUUUCACACCCACACUGUGUCAGAAACUGCCCUGCCUGGCUGGAGGGACCAAUGUGCUGAUAUCAUCUUCAUUAGGUUAAAAUCAUUAAGUUUUGAACUGAGACUGAUGAAGAAUUUCAAGGGAGACUGGUGAAAGUCUGCUACAAAACUGACCCUUUAUCCAGUGGGAUACUAAAUCUAUAGAACUUCAUGUUUACGUUAUCAGCCCAUUAACUACUGGGUAAACUAAACGAAACAAGAAGAAAAUGUUUGUGCACAUACACUUCUCCUAUCAAUAUGGAAACCGUCUGUUAGAUUGGGUCUGCAUGCACAAAGUACACGUCAUUUGUUAUUGACAUAACCUCUUUGUGGCCCUCAGUUACAUCCUUUUGAAAGUUCUGACUACAUGUGGCAACAGAGUUUUCAACUUGUCUUACGUAGGUUUUUGAGGGCCCAUGGAUUACUUGUAAGGGAUCUAUUAAGGCUGCUGAGAAAAGGAAAUCUCUGCUUGGUUAGCCUAAAGGAUCCUCAGGUUUGAAAGGGCUGAAGGCCAUUUCACUGGAGAUAAGUUCUGUACAGCUAAAUGAAAAAUAUCCCAGAAGCUUGGGGAAUACAGGGACCCAUGGGACCUAUUCUGAAAGAAUCAUUGUGAAAAAUAUGUGGCAGAAUAAAAACAGAAUUUAUUCCCCCU
rnacentral:lncRNA from 1 species